rnacentral:rRNA from 1 species
GAUCCUAGCUCAGGAUGAACGCUAGCUACAGGCUUAACACAUGCAAGUCGAGGGGCAGCAUGGUCUUAGCUUGCUUAAGGCCGAUGGCGACCGGCGCACGGGUGAGUAACACGUAUCCAACCUGCCGUCUACUCGUUGGACAGCCUUCUGAAAGGAAGAUUAAUACAAGAUGGCAUCAGUGAGUCCGCAUGUUCACAUGAUUAAAGGUAUUCCGGUAGACGAUGGGG